UACGUAGGGUGCGAGCGUUAAUCGGAAUUACUGGGCGUAAAGCGUGCGCAGGCGGUUCUCCAAGGCCGUUGUGAAAGCCCCGGGCUCAACCUGGGAAUGGCAGUGGAAACUAGGGGACUGGAAUCUGGCAGAGGGGGGUGGAAUGCCGCGUGUAGCAGUGAAAUGCGUAGAGAUGCGGCGGAACACCGAUGGCGAAGGCAGCCCCCUGGGCUGAGAUUGACGCUCAUGCACGAAAGCGUGGGGAGCAAACAGG
rnacentral:rRNA from 1 species